rnacentral:lncRNA from 1 species
UUAUAAAUAUUUAUAUAUGAUGUCACAAAUAUCUUAUACCUGAUCACACUCAAUAAAAACCAUUAAUUUAACUAUUUUAAAUAUCUUAAGUUUUGCCAAUGGCCCAAUGAAAUUAUUGAAUUCAAGAAUCUUAAUCAAAAGAUUUUUAUUUUAAUUUAACUUAAUUUAAAUCAAAAUUUUUGCCAUUAUUAUUUUACAUUGCUUGUAUGUUUCACAUUGCUUGUGAGAAUGGUUUUCUCGCCUUUCUAAUCUAUAUAUAUAUUUUUUAUUGUUAUUAUGAUAAAUUAUUGCUGGAGACGGUUUUUCUUGUUUACAAUACUUUGUAGAUAUUAGGUAAAUACUAGAUAGGUAUGUAGAUACUAGAUAGAUAAUAUAUAUAACUAACUUUUAUCUAAUCCUACUGAACUUAUCUGUUCCCUUUUUUAUUCUACCAUUUUUUCAUAAAUUGAUGGAUUAGUAAAUAUAACAAUUCAUAUUACUACAGGAAUAAAGAAUGCUCAUGAUAAUUUUUCAAAGAGUUAUGAUCUGAAGAUCUGAAAAUAAUUUCCUCUGGGAUCUGUUUCAUUUCAGCUGAAAUUAAACAGUCUAAAACUAUUUCAUUUUAGUCCCAAUUAAAGGACUAUAAAUUAUAAUGUAUCCCUCUGUAUAGUUCUGUAUUACUUUCAGAAAUCCUGAGUAGUCUCCUGAGACUACUCCACUGUACCCCGGAUUCAAGGACUAUAUUGUGAACCCAAUUAACCCUCCUCCGAAAAAAAUUUAAAAUUACAACUAGCAGACUGGUUGCAUGAUAAGGUUAUUGAACGCUCAACGUCACCCUGGUCAUCACCUUUAGUCAUGAAGAAGUCAGGGGCGGUCAUAUGAGAAUUGACGUCCCACCCUCGCACAGGUAUCAAGCUUUACUCGCAGUACAUGCACAUGAGAACUGGGGAGAACAGCGUACUAUGCAACUGCUUGUAAAAAAGGUUUUCUUGCCCAUGGAAGAGAAAAGACACAAGUCUCUUUGUCACGGAAUGUGAAGUUGCCUGCACAGAGAAGAGUCGUUUCUGCAGUUCCUAUUCCUGAUAAGUCGGCUAAGACAGUCUCCACAGCAAUCCUAAAACAUUGGAUCUUGUUGUAUGGGACUCCAACAAAAAUCAGGAAAGCCUGCCGGACUAGAAUUUCAAAACUCUGUAAUAGUUUCUAUGACGAGUGCGUUAAAAGUGAGCAUUAAAGUGGGGACCCCCUAUAUAGAAAGAUUUCAUACAACUUAGUGGUCCCUUUGAUUUACCCACUUUGAUUCUUCCAUAUAACUCUACACGACAUUAUUCUACAUUGUGCAGUCCCGCUAGCUUAUUUUUAGGAAUGGAGACGAACCUGCCUCGCCUUUCCUUUUUGCCAAAAAAACUAAAACUACCUAAAAAAGCUAUGAUGCAGUUGUUGGACAAGCUCUCAGGAAUUGAUUUACCAUGUAAAGACUAAAGUUGACAAUAGUUUGGUUGACAAAUUCUACAAAGACGUCAACCACGGGAGCCAACACCAGGAUCAAACAGAGUGUCAGCAAUAAUACAGGACAAAUCAGAAGCAAGAAUUUAUCUGCUGGACCAAUCAGAAGCAAACCUGAUAGUAGGGACAGCAAGAACAGUGUCAGCAACAAUACAGGACCAAUCAGAAGCAAGAAUUUAUCUGCUGGACCAAUCAGAAGCAACCCUGGUAGAAGGGACAGCUAGAAGAGUGUCAGCAACAAUACAGGACCAAUCAGAAGCAAGAAUUUAUCUGCUGGACCAAUCAGAAGCAACCCUGGUAGAAGGGACAGCAAGAACAGUGUCAGCAACAAUACAGGACCAAUCAGAAGCAAGAAUUUAUCUGCUGGACCAAUCAGAAGCAACCCUGGUAGAAGGGACAGCUAGAAAAGUGUCAGCAACAAUACAGGAACAAUCAGAAGCAAGAAUUUAUCUGCUGGACCAAUCAGAAGCAACCAUGGUAGUAAGGACAGCAACAAUACUAGACCAAUCAGAAGCAAGAAUUAAUCUGCUGGACCAAUCAGAAGCAACCCUGGAAUUAACGACAGCAAGAGCAAUAAUAGUACAGAGAUGAGGAGUCAAACUUCUGAAGAGGACCACGUCUUUUUGUGGUAAAUUUAAUGAUUUGGUUAAUAAAAGGAUAAGUUUUA